CUUGGGUCUACUUGCUUCAUGUGGACAAAAACCAAGAUUAAGUUAGAAAGUAUUUUCAAUUGUUAAAUUCUUCAUGAUUUUAUAAUGUGCUGAUGACUGUAACAACCUUAAAGACUUUAAUCACCCAGGCACCAAAUCCGAAUGUUUUUGCAGCAUCGAAUAGAAGUAUUCUUUGCAGGGAAGAGGCUAAUAAAACUUUUGCUUUGCAUUCUGAAUUUAGAAUUAGCAACUGACAAUCCCCUUGGAAUUAUAACUCUUGCAUUGUUACACACUAAAUAGCUACACUUGUCUUGUUAAUAAAAUCAUAGUAAUUGAGUAGCAUUUUCAUUAAGACAGGAGUGUGGUUCAUUUUGUAGAUAGAUGAAAAAACAACCUGGAGAUUCCAUAGAAACCCUGUUUUCCCAUUAAGGUUGUGCAGAACCCAUAUUAAUGGGAAAUUGUUUCGAACAAACAUAUGGGCAAGUCGCAUGCCCUCGCCCCCUCUGGGGUCAGCACUGCAUGAGCCCUGGGGGUUACCAGGUGUUCUUCAGUUUCUGGGUUGCCGUCUUAGCUGGCAGAGUGGUUGUGUGUCUCUGUGUUAGAGACCUGCUUAACAACCACUGAGUAUGUGGUAGAAUGGCCCCCGAUCUAACAGCAUCCCGGAGCAGAAGUGGACACAGAUAGAGCUUCAUUGAAGGUGUUCUCACGACCACACUACAUAGUUAAGAUGCUCCACAGGGCUCAUCAAGCAAACUGCAUUGUGAUCUAAUAGAGCCCAAUGUGGAAUCCAGAUUCUGGGUUUGGUAUGAAUUCUUUCUCUAUGAGAAGGAGCAGAGAUGAACUAAGGGAUCUACUAGGGUGGUCAUCGGGAGUAGACACAGCUGUUGGUGUGUUCAUGUUCCACCUGAAAGCUUUUGAAGGAGUCCAUUGCCAUCAGGCCACUCAAGGAAGACUCACCAUUGCCACAGUGGUCAGCCUAGUUGCUUCUGGAGCUGUGGCUCUCAGCAUGCAAGAGAGAAGCUGGGUCUAUGCACAUGAGCAGACAGGAUAGGCUGUUCUUGUCUGGGUCUCAAUCUGUCCUUUGAGUCCAAGGAAACUCUGCUUAUGCUCAGAGUUUCAGAGUCUCCCAUGAACAAUUUCUGGUAUUCACUUCUGCCUCCAGUCUGAAAUUCAUGAAUCUGUCCAUUUCUGGCUCUCAUUCAUCUAAGCAUGGGGCUCCAACCCAGUCCAAGGGGAUAGAGAAUAGGGAAUAGAGACCUGGUCAUUCCUCAUUGUUCUUCUCUCCUCUCAGGGAGAAUGCAUCUCUAGAAGCAGCAGCCUUCUUGAUACCAUUAUGACCCCCUCCCCUUGCUCCUCAGAGCAAUAGUGUCUCAGGACUGUCUUUAUUCCAGCAGAACCUCUUUGCCUCACCUUCGCACUGCUACAGUGUCCACUGAGGCACUUUUCACAAACCAUCUGGAUGGGCUGCUGACAGCUAGACUCCAGGCUCCAUCUCCAGUGAAUCAGAAAACUGCUUAAACUUUACAAUAACAGAUUCUCUGGUUUCCAUCACCUUUACAACAGUUUACAAUGUGCUGGGGCCAAUUCAGAACUCAAGGUGCUUGUCCUUCCCCUCACCCCCCAGCAUCAUAGCAAGGGAGAAACUUCCCACUACAGUCUAGGGAGUUGGAGCUGAGGGCUAAGGUGAUGGCCAUAGUGGAAAGUCUAGUCUCACCUCCCACAGGUAGCUUUGUGGAUCGCAAUAUUUUUGUUAACAGUAGUAAGGAUAGGAGUGGGUAAAGGAAAGUUUAUAUGAUUAUGGGGGAAUUUGUGAGUAGGCAAACUCUAUGAAGUUGUAGUAAUAAUUACCAUAAAAGCUAACAUUUGUGGAAUACUUCUUAUAGGAAAACUACAGUCCUAACUCUGGAUUAAAUGAGAUAAGGGAUCAUCUCAUUAACAUCAUCUCAAUAUUAAGGAAGAGGUAUUAUUAUAUCCAUUCCCCUAAAGGAAUGCAAGUUCCAUGAAUACAGGGACCUCAUUUACCUGGUUUCUUAGGCUGCCCUGGGACUGAAAUAAGUACCUGACACAUAAAUACUGAAAUGAUAUUUGUCAAUUGAAUAAAUGAUCACCCAUGUCUUAUAGAUGAGGAACCAAAUAUUAGAGAAUUUAAGUAACUUGAAUUAAGCAGUCAGACUCCAAGUCUAGUGCUCUAAACCACUCACUAGACCAUGCUAUGAGUUCUUUGGUUAUUGAGAGGUGAAUAGAAAGCUGAAAAGUGUGUAGUGAGAUUUUAGAAAAGUUGGUGUGGGAACUAGGAGAGGUGAGUGGCCCUCCAAAAGUAAAAAGAUUGCCAUAGAUUAGAAAGCCUAGCAGGCACUGCCAUCACUGUCAGUUAACAGUUGUGAAGGAGACAGCAAUUCAUUUAGAGUUUGUCUGACUGGUUAGCCCUCAGAAGAGGGAGGGGUGUGUGUGUGUGUGUGUGUGUGUGUGUGUGUGUGUGAUGUGUUUUGGGUGACAGAAAGUGGGUAAAAUGUGGGGAAAGUGGUUAGUUAGGUUGACAGAGUACCAGACAAGUUUCCUAACAGAGCAUGGAAAUGAAAUUAUAAAGUUGUAUGUAUGAAAAUAUAAAGUUGAUUGUAUAAAGUCUAAGCUCACAGUCAAUGGCCAGUCAAUGGAAGAGUCAGGUUAAAAUAUGCAUCCAGUCCUGCUAGAGUCAUCAAAAAUGCAUCCAGAGUCCCCCAGCUAUGGAGGCGGUGUGUGAAAACUCCUUUCUUAUCAUCUUAUCAAGAUAACCUUACAUUUCCCAGGCAGACUGGCCCAUAGGUUGCUUUUUACAUAGAGAACCUGUAGCGCUAGUGUUUGAAAUGGUGAAAUAUGCAGUGAAUAAAGCAGGAAGUGUGUAGUAAGGGCCCUCUCCUGUUCUUAGGAAGCCACUGUUUUUGUUUUUGUUUUUGUUUUUUGAUCUUUUUAGGGCCACACCUGUGGGACAUGGAGGUUCCCAGGCUAGGAGUCAAAUUGGAGCUGUAGCCGCUGGCUUACACCACAGCCCAGCCUUUGACCUACACCACAGCUCAUGGCAAGGCUAGAUUCAAGCCGCAUCUGUGUCGUAUGCCACAGCUCACGGCAAGGCUGAAUCCUUAAUCCACUGAGUGAGACACUUUUGUAUCUACACUCAGCAUCAGCAUCU
rnacentral:lncRNA from 9 species